CGGCGAGGGAGACUGACCCCAGAGCCACACGGGGCUCCAGGGCUCGUGGCCACCUGGGAUGACACAGGGAACGGAGGCUGUGCCUUCCCACGGGAAACAGGAGCACUCAGGGCAGGCAGUGUCCAGCUGGACCCACAGGCACCAUGAGGAAGGAUCCCAGCAAGGAGCAGACGGUUUCCAGGUCCCACCAUCCAGCUGUGUGUUCCAUGGUUGUACUCAUUCCCUGACUGCCCCAUCCCGCCCCUCCCUGCACCCCACCCUGCCAACCCCUCCAAGGGCAGCUGGAGGUGAGGGGUGCCCUCCCCUUCCAUCCUCUUCCCUGCAUCCCCUCAUAUGUUCCUCACCCACAACCCCAUGUCAUUCCCAGAUUCCCGAUCCCCUCCAACACCCCAUCCUUACACACCCAUAACCAUUUCUUCUCCCCUCGCUCCUCGUGCACAGCACAGAUCCUCUCCCUGCUGCCACAGUGAUGCUCAUCCCUCCCCAGCUCCCUUUCCCUCCCUCCCAGUCCCAGGGGAAGCUCGUGCCCAGCCUCUGCCCAUGCCAGGAUAUCCCACCUUUCCAGGUGUUUCUUUGGACAUCAGCAUCUCCCCUCUGCUCAGCUGGGCUCCUGCUCCACCAGCACAUCGCUCUGCCCCACCCCACCCUCUUUUACUGCUGUGUCCAUCCCUCCCGGAGCUGUAUCCAUGGUUUUACCUGUCCCACAGCUCCGUGCUGGGAGAGGAAGGGCACAGACCAAACCCCAGCGGUGCCGCUCGCUCUGCUUCCCGUGACUCCCGGGAUCGACUGCCAGCUCCCACCACCACUCCUCAUUUUUUAAUCUCCCCAAGUGAGCCGAGAAUUAAUUAUUUAGCAGCUCACAGGACACAUGGGGAACACCCAAUCCGUGAGGAGCUGCAGCUCUGGCUCCCACCUGCCCCGGGGGAGCAGCGGGAGAGGGCUGGGAGAGGGCUGGGAUAGCUGUGGCUGCAUCCCUGCUGUGCCACACACCUAAUAUUGCCCGGUGAUCAAUGGCUUCGUGUGCUCUCCCCCGAGGAACCGGGAGUGUUGGCUCGUGGCUGAAUCUGUCUCCAGAAGAAAUUGGUCCCUGUGGGAAGCAACACGGAGCCACGGCCAGAGGGGAGGGUGGGGGGAAUGCUGGGGUUCCCUGGGGAGAGAUCCCUGCUCCAUGCCCGGUGCCAGGGGGGUGGUGAUGGGACCAGUCCAACCACAGUGGUGCCAGUUCUUCUCCGAGGGGAUGGAAACAGGGAGCUGGGGGGUGACAACCCUGGGGGGUCUCAUCCAAAGUCCCACUGACAUCCUGGGCAGCUCUUGGGGCAGGAGUGGCCAGGAGCUGUCACCCCGUGUGCACCCACAUGGCUGGGGGGACCCACAGUGGGGACAGGGAUGGGGAUGGGGAUGGAGCAGGCCCUGGAGCAGCCCAGACACCUCCACCAAACAUCCCGGGGUGUCUGGGAUGGCAGCAGGAUAUGCUGCACUCCUGGCCUGGCUGAGCUGGGGAGGUGUCUGGAGGGGGUGAGGAGGGGGCAGCAGGCACCCACCACCCCCUGAGUGACCCUCAGAGGGGACCCUGUGGAAGCAGGGACCGAUUCCCACUGUGUCCAUGCUGGGAGAUCGCAGGCACCGGCAAGAGCCUUAACUUUAAAAAAAAAAAAUGGUUUAUUUAUU